AAGGAUUUAAGUUAAAUUAAACUUGGAGCCUUCAAAGCUCCCCAUAAAGACCUGCUUUAAGCCUUA
rnacentral:tRNA from 1 species